GUGAAGUUUUAUUCUUGCUUUUUCAUUUAAUGUUUGUUUGUUUUAUAUGUAAGUCUUUGCGUGGGUUUCGCCCAGUGCUCUUGAUGGGUUUGGGUUAUAAUUGUUUGAUUGAUUUAUUCUCAUUAGUUAUUAUUGGUUGGUCAAGUACGCUUGUAUCUAGUAAUUCAUUUAGUCUCGGUUAAAUUUUGUGCCAGCAGCCGCGGUUAUACCUUGGAGGCGUUUGAAUGUGUUCGGUAUUGUAGUUAUUAUGUUUAAGUUUUUGAUUUUAUUUUGUUAGUUUAUUAGGUGAAAUUUUUAUUGUUAUUUUAUGUCAUUUAAUUGUUUGGAGGCUAUGAAAUUCCUUUUAUAGACUAGGAUUAGAUACCCUAUUAUUUUGGAUCGUUAAUUUUUGUGCCUGAGUAGUAUUAGUUAUGUUCUUGAAACUUAAAGAAUUUGGCGGUAUCUUAUUCCAUCCAGAGGAAUCUGUCUCGUUAUCGAUAGUCCGCGUUGGACCUUACUUAGUUGCUUUGGUUUGUAUACCGCCGUUUAUUGAUUAUCUUUUUAGGGUUUGUUUAAUUUUCUGGUUUCUUUAUUUUGAUUUAUUUCAGGUCAAGGUGCAGCUUGUUUCUAAGUGGAACGAUGGAUUACAUUGGUAUUUGUUUAUUUGGAUUAUUGAUUUUAAUAUUGGUAUGAAAUUGGAUUUGGUUGUAAUGUUUUGUAGAUUGUCUUCAUGAUAAUUGGUUCUGGGGUAUGUACACAUCGCCCGUCGCUCUCGUUUAUUUGUUAAUGAGAUAAGUCGUAACAAAGUGGUUGUACCGGAAGGUGCAGCUGGAUUGAU
rnacentral:ncRNA from 1 species